rnacentral:rRNA from 1 species
AAUAUUGGACAAUGGGGGCAACCCUAAUCCAGCCAUCCCGCGUGUGUGAAGAAGGUCUUCGGAUUGUCAAGCACUCUAAGUUGGGCGAAAGGGCUUUAGGUUAAUACCCUGCGGUGCUGACGGUACCUGCAGAAUACGCACCGGCUAACUACUUGCCAGCAGCCGCGGUAAUACGUAGGGUGCAAGCGUUAAUCGGAAUUACUGGGCGUAAAGCGUGCGCAGGCGGUUCGGCAAGAAGGAUGUGAAAUCCCGGGGCUUAACCUCGGAACUGCAUUCUUAACUGCCGGGCUAGAGUAUGUCAGAGGGGGGUAGAAUUCCGCGUGUAGCAGUGAAAUGCGUAGAGAUGCGGAGGAAUACCGAUGGCGAAGGCAGCCCCCUGGGAUAAUACUGACGCUCAUGCACGAAAGCGUGGGGAGCAAAC